rnacentral:rRNA from 1 species
AUAUCAGUAAGCAGAGGAAAAGAAACUAACCAGGAUUCCCUCAGUAACGGCGAGUGAAGCGGGAAGAGCUCAACUUUAAAAUCCGGGCGCAAGCUCCGAAUUGUAGUUUAGAGAAGCGUUUUCGGUGACGAUAUUGGCCCAAGUCCCUUGGAACAGGGUAUCAUAGAGGGUGAGAAUCCCGUCUUUGGCUAAUUUUUUGCCGUCGCUAUGUAGGCGAGC